CACGUAGGGGGGCAAGCGUUUGUCCGGAUUUAUUGGGCGUAAAGAGCUCGUAGGCGGUUCGGUAAGUCGGGUGUGAAACCUCCAGGCUCAACCUGGAGUCGCCACUCGAUACUGCUGUGACUAGAGUCCGGUAGGGGAGCGUGGAAUUCCUGGUGUAGCGGUGAAAUGCGCAGAUAUCAGGAGGAACACCAGCGGCGAAGGCGGCGCUCUGGGCCGGAACUGACGCUGAGGAGCGAAAGCGUGGGUAGCAAACAGG
rnacentral:rRNA from 1 species